UUCUAUCAUCCUCCUCAGGUUGGCUGAAAUAUUGACUUCUAGCUACUAAUUCCUAAACAUUUGUUUCUCUUCAGUGUUUGGUCAGGUCUAGAGUGGGAGAAGGAUUUCCUUUUCAAUCCUUUUCUGGUUUCCAAAAGGGCUGGUAUGGAAAAGAGAAACUGGUUAUAGUGAUGGAGUGAUGGCGGCAAGGAAACCCAAUUGCUAGUUGUUCACUCUCAGAAUGAUAGGCCCUCAGAGAAAGGGUCUAAUAUUGAAGGGUCCUUUCCCCCCCUCAUUAGAAAUAUUAAUCCUACAGGUACAAUGUCUAUGGAGAUUCUCAGUCAGAGCUGAAGAAGCUUCUUGGAUCAGAAGCGAAACAUCUUCAAAGAAAAACCAGAAAGUCCAGUUGCCUCUUGAAAAAGCAUCAUUGGUACAGGAAAAUAUCAGGCAAGGCAAGAAAGCAGGACAUCAGUAUAUAUACACAGUAGGAGGAGUCAAAGAGGCGUUCUGCACAUGCUCGGAUCUCAUUUUUCUCCAGCAGUCCCCGAUGAAGGAUCUUGUGCUCGCGGUUCUCGGGAGAAGGCCCCAUUAUUCAGGAUGUUCUUCUGCCUCGACUCUGGGAGGCCUCAAGUAGUCGAUGGUUGCCUGGGAGGUCGUUCGAGUCACCGGGGCAUUCCUGCUGCUCUGGUCAGCGAAGUCAUCGCGGAGGGUCCGGCGGCUCUGUUCCUCUGUGCGGCUGCAGAACUGGGCCUGGUUUGGAUCAUCACUAUCGGAAUACAUUGACUGCUCAGCGUGAUGUCUUCUGAUCGGAGAACAUCAGGCAAGACAAGAAAGCAGUCCAGGACAUCAGUAUAUAUACACAGUAGGAGGAGUCAAAGGAACAGGAACCUCUGUGAGACCAGUGAGAAGCACAGCUGGAGACAGCCUCACAAAA